GAGGAGCAAUGAUACCAUAUUACAGGUAAUAGAGGAGCAGUGGUACCAUAUUACAGGUAAUAGAGGAGCAGUGAUAGUAUUAGAGAUAGUAGAGGAGCAGUGAUACCGUAUUACAGGUAAUAGAAGAGCAGUGAUACCAUAUUACAGGUAAUAGAGGAGCAGUGGUACCAUAUUACAGGUAAUAGAGGAGCAGUGAUAGUAUUAGAGAUAGUAGAGGAGCAGUGAUACCGUAUUACAGGUAAUAGAAGAGCAGUGAUACCAUAUUACAGGUAAUAGAGGAGCAGUGAUAGUAUUACAGGUAAUAGAAGAGCAGUGAUACCAUAUUACAGGUAAUAGAGGAGCAGUGGUACCAUAUUACAGGUAAUAGAGGAGCAGUGGUACCAUAUUACAGGUAAUAGAGGAGCAGUGAUAGUAUUACAGGUAUUAGAAGAGCAGUGAUACCGUAUUACAGGUAUUAGAGGACCAGUGAUAGUAUUAGAGAUAGUAGAGGAGUAGUGCUGUACGGUAUCUAUUUCAGCUAACAGAGGAGCAGUGCUACCAUAUUACAGGUAAUAGAGGAGCAGUGCUACCAUAUUACAGGUAAUAGAGGACCAGUGAUACCGUAUUACAGGUAAUAGAGGAGCAGUGAUACCAUAUUACAGGUAAUAGAGGAGCAGUGAUACCAUAUUACAGGUAAUAAGAGGACCAGUGAUACCGUAUCACAGGUAAUAGAGGAGCAGUGAUAGUAUUACAGGUAAUAGAAGAGCAGUGAUAGUAUUACAGGUAAUAGAAGAGCAGUGAUACCAUAUUACAGGUAAUAGAGGAGCAGUGGUACCAUAUUACAGGUAAUAGAGGAGCAGUGAUAGUAUUAGAGAUAGUAGAGGAGCAGUGAUACCGUAUUACAGGUAAUAGAAGAGCAGUGAUACCAUAUUACAGGUAAUAGAGGAGCAGUGCUACCAUAUUACAGGUAAUAGAGGACCAGUGAUACCGUAUUACAGGUAAUAGAGGAGCAGUGAUAGUAUUACAGGUAAUAGAGGAGCAGUGAUAGUAUUACAGGUAAUAGAAGAGCAGUGAUAGUAUUACAGGUAAUAGAAGAGCAGUGCUACCAUAUUACAGGUAAUAGAGGAGCAGUGAUAGUAUUACAGGUAAUAGAAGAGCAGUGAUACAGUAUUACAGGUAAUAGAAGAGCAGUGAUACCAUAUUACAGGUAAUAGAAGAGCAGUGAUACAGUAUUACAGGUAAUAGAAGAGCAGUGAUACCAUAUUACAGGUAAUAGAGGAGCAGUGAUAGUAUUACAGGUAAUAGAAGAGCAGUGAUACCAUAUUACAGGUAAUAGAGGAGCAGUGGUACCAUAUUACAGGUAAUAGAGGAGCAGUGGUACCAUAUUACAGGUAAUAGAGGAGCAGUGAUAGUAUUACAGGUAUUAGAAGAGCAGUGAUACCGUAUUACAGGUAUUAGAGGACCAGUGAUAGUAUUAGAGAUAGUAGAGGAGUAGUGCUGUACGGUAUCUAUUUCAGCUAACAGAGGAGCAGUGCUACCAUAUUACAGGUAAUAGAGGAGCAGUGCUACCAUAUUACAGGUAAUAGAGGACCAGUGAUACCGUAUUACAGGUAAUAGAGGAGCAGUGAUACCAUAUUACAGGUAAUAGAGGAGCAGUGAUACCAUAUUACAGGUAAUAAGAGGACCAGUGAUACCGUAUCACAGGUAAUAGAGGAGCAGUGAUAGUAUUACAGGUAAUAGAAGAGCAGUGAUAGUAUUACAGGUAAUAGAAGAGCAGUGAUACCAUAUUACAGGUAAUAGAGGAGCAGUGGUACCAUAUUACAGGUAAUAGAGGAGCAGUGAUAGUAUUAGAGAUAGUAGAGGAGCAGUGAUACCGUAUUACAGGUAAUAGAAGAGCAGUGAUACCAUAUUACAGGUAAUAGAGGAGCAGUGCUACCAUAUUACAGGUAAUAGAGGACCAGUGAUACCGUAUUACAGGUAAUAGAGGAGCAGUGAUAGUAUUACAGGUAAUAGAGGAGCAGUGAUAGUAUUACAGGUAAUAGAAGAGCAGUGAUAGUAUUACAGGUAAUAGAAGAGCAGUGCUACCAUAUUACAGGUAAUAGAGGAGCAGUGAUAGUAUUACAGGUAAUAGAAGAGCAGUGAUACAGUAUUACAGGUAAUAGAAGAGCAGUGAUACCAUAUUACAGGUAAUAGAGGAGCAGUGAUACCGUAUUACAGGUAUUAGAGGACCAGUGAUAGUAUUAGAGAUAGUAGAGGAGUAGUGCUGUACGGUAUGUAUUUCAGCUAACAGAGGAGCAGUGCUACCAUAUUACAGGUAAUAGAAGAGCAGUGAUACCGUAUUACCGGUAAUAGAGGAGCUAUGAUACCAUAUUACAGGUAAUAGAGGAGCUGUGAUGUACGACCUGUAAUACUGGAUCUACAGGUAACAGGUAAUAGAGGAGCAGUGCUACCAUAUUGCAGGUAAUAGAGGAGCAGCGAUAACAUAUUACAGGUAAUAGAGGAGCAGUGAUACCAUAUUACAGGUAAUAGAGGAGCUGUGAUACCAUAUUACAGGUAAUAGAGGAGCAGUGAUACCAUAUUACAGGUAAUAGAGGAGCUGUGAUACCAUAUUACAGGUAAUAGAGGAGCAGUGAUACCAUAUUACAGGUAAUAGAGAAGCAGUGCUACCAUAUUACAGGUAAUAGAGGAGCAGUGAUACCAUAUUACAGGUAAUAGAGGAGCAGUGCUACCAUAUUACAGGUAAUAGAGGAGCUGUGAUACCAUAUUAAAGGUAAUAGAGGAGCUGUGAUACCAUAUUACAGGUAAUAGAGGAGCAGUGAUAGUAUUACCGGUAAUAGAAGAGCAGUGAUACCAUAUUACAGGUAAUAGAGGAGCAGUGAUACCAUAUUACAGGUAAUAGAGGAGCAGUGAUACCAUAUUACAGGUAAUAGAGGAGCUGUGCUACCAUAUUACAGGUAAUAGAGGAGCAGUGCUACCAUAUUACAGGUAAUAGAGGAGCUGCUGCUGCAGAGUUAAUAAUUAUGAUUAUGGAGUCAAAAAUAUUCUAAAUACUUUACAGACUUUAGAAAUACAGCAACAACAGGAACAUCUGCAGUCAGAAAUCAGACUGAUGAAUAAAAUGAAAUGUUUUUGAAUCCUAAAUCGACCCUUAGCCCCUGUUUCAUAGGCCUAUGCACUCCAGUAUUCGAGUGCAGUACUGUAUAUCACUCUAUUCUUUACAUAGUGCACUACUUUUGGCCUGAACUCUGGAUUAGGGACUUCUACAGGGAUCCGUCUUGUGUUCUGUUGAUGUUUCUGUUGGCUAGAAGAAUAAAGACACACAUGUUUCUGGG